GAGCCAUUAGCCCUAAGGGAUACGGAUGAAGUAGAUCCAACCAUCCCACUGCUUGAUGAAGAAGCACAGAACUUUGAAUUCAAGGCUGCUUUUAUCUAGAUCCCUGACUGACCUGCACUGAGGAGAAAGCAGUUCCAGCUUUGGAAACUGGGGCACUGGGGGAGCCAGGUUCAGGGACAGAGAAUUUGAGCAGUGUCCUGGUAACAGCCUGCAUGGAAGCAGAGGUCAGUUCCUGAGAAGCUCUGCCUGCGUACCUCCUCAGUUUGGGGGAAGGAGGAGCCCCGACCUGGUCAAAAUCAGCCUUCCUUCCCCAGAGCGCCUGUGACCUGAGACCAGGCAAGAACCACGACUGACCACAGGGGAGAAUCCAGUCACUUUCGUUACACUGUGCUCCUGUUCCUACCUGCUCCUGGACCCUUGGGAAGCCAGCGCCACACUCCUGUAGACUCUCUCUCAUCCCCUAGAUGAGCCUUUUCGUCUACCCCUUGGACAUUCUGACCUCGUACACACCUCGAAGUGUACCGGUAACUCUGCUCUAAUAUGUCAAGUUCUGAAAACAUUUCCACUCUUCUGGCCAAGGAGGCUCAGCCAGUUGUGGGGUGAAAUUUGGGAAGCCUGGAUUGGGAAGUGAAGAUCACUCUGUGGAAAGNNNNNNNNNNNNNNNNNNNNNNNNNNNNUCUUCCUUUGGUUCCAGCGCAUCAACCUUCACCUCUCCCCGCAGCACCGCGAUCACCAGCCAUCAAGGCCACCUUGCCCGGUGCCUUUUUUUUAAAAUAUGGCUUUAAAUGCUUCAUCGUGGUUAGAAGACAACAUAGAGAAGCAUUAACAAAAUGAUGGGGAAGACGCAAAAUAGAAGAACAGAGAAAGAAGAAAGAGGAAGUAGAAUUCAGGAGGAGAAAAAAUCAUGACAUUGGUUUAUUGAAAACUGAACAGAAGGCAAAAUUGCACCCAGCCACCUCCAGCCCAGCAGGCUUGUCAAAACCAACUCAGACACAGGGGGACUCUUACCUAUUUGUCUCUGGAUCUUCAGAAUGGAGUCAGGAGAGGUGGCAUUUGGAGGCAGCGGAGCUGUGCUGGUUACCUUCGUUUCCCCCUCUGCAUCUACAGAGGUGUUUUGCACAUAAAAGGAUUUCAACAGAGUGAAAUGAUCACUAACUUUUAAGUUAUAUCUACUCUUGCAAAGUGAAAUGUGGAGUUCAGAUGUCUGGGGGGAUAAAAAGGUGUUAAAAAAAGACCCAAAUGGUCCACAUGAAUAAAAGAUGAUACAUUUGGGC
rnacentral:lncRNA from 1 species